AAAGGAAAUUGCAAAUGCCCCUAAAUGCUCUUUCCCAUCGAUUGGCAGAGAGAAUCUAACACAUACACAGAGGAGAUGGAGCAUAAAAUUGGGCGGACUGACUCAGAGGCAAACGCACAUAAGGGUCCCCAGAUGCAGCGAAUGAACAGGUUUUCCUCGUAAAAAUGAUGGAGGUGAAGGUGGGGAUGGGGGUGCUCUCCUCACUCCGGAAUCUGAAGCGGGAGAGAGCUGGAUAAACCGCCGAGAUGACCUAAGUGGUCUGAGGCGACCAGCAGCGCGUCCACAGUGGAGGACCCAGGCCUCGGCUCAGACAUGGCCUGCUCCGCUCUUUCCCUAGGCUCCUCUGCAACAUCAGGCAACCAAGGCCUGCGCUCUCCUUUUCCUGAGGAGACUCCCUGGAACCUUCAAGAACCCCCCGACAGCCACCAGGAUACCCGGUCUGAAUGGUUUCCUACCAAGAAAGACCCCGAAGACCUGCAGUUCUGUCCAGAAACGAGUUUUUAGGGUCACUUGAAUUUGAGCUGCUGCGAGGGCGGUGCUUUAGGGAGCAGAGUUCAAAGAGGAAUUCCUCAGGACCCUAGGCCAGGUCCGCGUUAAAGGGCGCCUUACAAACCUCCUCUCCCCACACUCCCCCGCAGCCCCUUCCCCAACGUUUAAGGCACCGGAUCUUGAGAAGCAAAUCUAGUGCCCAGCUUCAAAUCCCCGCCUUGGAAAAGUACAAAGAGAAAACUGAUUUUUCAAAUCCCAAAGCCCUUUCCUUUUAAGCAACUUGGAAAAACUCAGCUAUAAACGCUUUCUCCUCUUAUGCUAAAAUUGAAAACUUAUAGAUUUUAGAUGGAAUGAAGAGAAGAUAUAUUCCUUUUCCCUUUAAAUAGCCACAUUUCAAAUUGUGCCAGGCAGCAAUUUCUGCGAAAAAGGAGUGGCGGUUGGGAUUGUUUGGGAGAUGGAGUUUUAUUUGUUCCCAUUUAUUUUGUUUUAUUUUUGUUUUAUUUUUUUCUUUGAGUUUCUUUGUUAUUUUGAGAUUCAUCUAAGAGACUCAGAAUUCCACUCUGAAUAAAGCACUUUUUGUUGUUUCAAAAUUUCAAACUGACAUAAGUGUUGGAUCAUCAGUUUUCCCUUUGUCUGCCCUAGUUGUAAAUAAUGGCUUUGAGAUUAGCUAAUUAAGGGGCAUUAAUCACUGAUAGAAAGGGAAUAAAUCAAAGCCUUGUUCUAAAUUUCAAACUUGCCUGUAUAGAUGUGCAUAGCUACUCUAUCUGGAGCAGAUAGGUGCUGUUUGAAUUACUGUUCUUCAGAGUAAACCAAAUCCACUUCGC
rnacentral:lncRNA from 1 species